GACGAACGCUGGCGGCGUGCUUAACACAUGCAAGUCGAACGGUGAUGCUCCAGCUUGCUGGCGUGGAUCAGUGGCGAACGGGUGAGUAACACGUGAGCAACCUGCCCCAGACUCUGGAAUAAGCGCUGGAAACGGCGUCUAAUACUGGAUACGAAACUGGCCCGCAUGGGCAUGGUUUGGAAAGUUUUUCGGUUUGGGAUGGGCUCGCGGCCUAUCAGCUUGUUGGUGAGGUAAUGGCUCACCAAGGCGACGACGGGUAGCCGGCCUGAGAGGGCGACCGGUCACACUGGGACUGAGACACGGCCCAGACUCCUACGGGAGGCAGCAGUGGGGAAUAUUGCACAAUGGGCGAAAGCCUGAUGCAGCGACGCCGCGUGAGGGAUGACGGCCUUCGGGUUGUAAACCUCUUUCAGCAGGGAAGAAGCGAAAGUGACGGUACCUGCAGAAGAAGCACCGGCUAACUACGUG
rnacentral:rRNA from 1 species